CGCUGACAGAAUGCUUAACACAUGCAAGUCUACUUGAACUUUCGGUUUUGGGUGGCGGACGGGUGAGUAACGCGUAAAGAACUUGCCUCCACAGUUAGGGACAACAUUUGGAAACGAAUGCUAAUACCUGAUAUUAUGAUUUUAGGGCAUCCUAAGAUUAUGAAAGCUAUAUGCGCUGUGAGAGAGCUUUGCGUCCCAUUAGCUAGUUGGAGAGGUAACGGCUCACCAAGGCGAUGAUGGGUAGCCGGCCUGAGAGGGUGAACGGCCACAAGGGGACUGAGACACGGCCCUUACUCCUACGGGAGGCAGCAGUGGGGAAUAUUGGACAAUGGACCAAAAGUCUGAUCCAGCAAUUCUGUGUGCACGAUGACGUUUUUCGGAAUGU
rnacentral:rRNA from 1 species